UAGGGAAUCUUCCGCAAUGGACGCAAGUCUGACGGAGCAACGCCGCGUGAGUGAAGAAGGAUUUCGGUUCGUAAAACUCUGUUGUUAGAGAAGAACAGCGCAUAGAGUAACUGUUAUGCGUGUGACGGUAUCUAACCAGAAAGCCACGGCUAACUACGUUCCAGCAGCCGCGGUAAUACGUAGGUGGCAAGCGUUGUCCGGAUUUAUUGGGCGUAAAGCGAGCGCAGGCGGUCAAUUAAGUCUGAUGUGAAAGCCCCCGGCUCAACCGGGGAGGGUCAUUGGAAACUGGUUGACUUGAGUGCAGAAGAGGAGAGUGGAAUUCCAUGUGUAGCGGUGAAAUGCGUAGAUAUAUGGAGGAACACCGGUGGAGAAAGCGGCUCUCUGGUCUGUAACUGACGCUGAGGCUCGAAAGCGUGGGGAGCGAACAGG
rnacentral:rRNA from 1 species